GACGUCGAAUAUCGACGUCAUAAACACCAAAGUUGUUCGUGUUUAUGACGUCGAAUAUCGACGUCAUAAACACAAAAGUUGAUCGUGUUUAUGACGUCGAAUAUCGACGUC
rnacentral:miRNA from 1 species